UCUAGUAGGACUACAUCCUCAUGAAAAGGGAAACGUAGGGACAGGGACGCAUGCUUAGAUGUGUGAGCCCAGCAAAGAGACCCCAGCUCUACCAACAGGUUGACCCCGAACUUCUAGCCUUCAGAACUGAGACAACACGCUUUGGUUGUUUUCUUCUAAUGAACUAAUGCACUGUUGUUUAUUUGUGUGUGUGUGUAGAGGUCAGAGGACAGCUUGUGGGAGGUGAAAUCAGAUCUUCACAACAGAUUAAGAACGGCUAUCACUCAGCACAGCUGGGGUCCCUGGGGACCGACAGGAGACUGGGGAAGAAGGUCCAGCAGUGAGGAAGGAAUGGCCCGGCUCCUCAGCAGCGGUCCUGGGUCUCCGGCAGACCCGACACAGGUGUGAAAUGAUCCCCAUGCCAUGUGGAGGAGCAGAAUGUCAUCUCUGAGGUCUGUGUUAAAAUCCCUUGAUAGCUUCCUCAGGGAGAUCAAAAGGUCUUUCUCACUACCACAGUGCUCCAUGUCGCCAAGGCUACGAAACCGAAGAGCAAGAAAGUUGAUGUGUAUUCGUGGGGGGCGCCAAAGGCUUCACCUCCGCACUAAAUAGUCUCUGCAAGUUUUGUGUUAGCAUUCUGCCCAUGCACUCGACAUUCUCAGAGUUCUCAAGGAGUCACAACUGAGAACUACCCACUGGGAGUCUUUUUUGCCUAGUGAUGUUUCGCCUAAAUACUACAAAAUUGCUUUCAAUGAAAUGUUCUUUUUUUUUUUACAUUAAACAUCACUGU